rnacentral:misc_RNA from 1 species
UUGAAUUUUAAUGAAGAGUUUGGUUGUAGCUGGCCCAUUCAUUUGGGCAUGUGCACACCUUCCUCUUUCAUCCCACACACACCUGUGAACCUGUGAGACAGAGAUGGGGAAUUUACUUGCUGCUUUUUGGAAUACAAAGGCAAUAGGUUAUUGGACCCCCCCUCUGUCUACUCAAUUAAUAUAAACUCAAUUAUUUUAAAAACGAAUGUAAUGGAUGUAACACAUCUCAUAC